GCUGGCGGCAGGCCUAACACAUGCAAGUCGAGCGGAAACGAUCCUAGCUUGCUAGAAGAUGACGAGCGGCGGACGGGUGAGUAACGCGUAGAAAUCUACCUAGUAGUGGGGGAUAGCCCAGAGAAAUUUGGAUUAAUACCGCAUACGCCCUACGGGGGAAAGCGGGGGAUCUUCGGACCUCGUGCUAUUAGAUGAGUCUGCGUCGGAUUAGCUUGUUGGUGAGGUAAUGGCUCACCAAGGCGACGAUCCGUAGCUGGUCUGAGAGGAUGACCAGCCACACUGGAACUGAGACACGGUCCAGACUCCUACGGGAGGCAGCAGUGGGGAAUAUUGCACAAUGGGCGCAAGCCUGAUGCAGCCAUGCCGCGUGUGUGAAGAAGGCCUUAGGGUUGUAAAGCACUUUCAGCAGUGAGGAAAGGGGUGUCGUUAAUAGCGCCAUCCUGUGACGUUAACUGCAGAAGAAGGACCGGCUAACUCCGUG
rnacentral:rRNA from 1 species